GUGGGGAAUCUUCCGCAAUGGACGAAAGUCUGACGGAGCAACGCCGCGUGAGUGAUGAAGGUCUUCGGAUUGUAAAGCUCUGUUAAUCGGGACGAAAGAGCCUAGUGUGAAUAAUGCUAGGAAGUGACGGUACCGGAAUAGAAAGCCACGGCUAACUACGUGCCAGCAGCCGCGGUAAUACGUAGGUGGCAAGCGUUGUCCGGAAUUAUUGGGCGUAAAGCGCGCGCAGGCGGAUCUGCCAGUCUGUCUUAAAAGUUCGGGGCUUAACCCCGUGAUGGGAUGGAAACUACAGGUCUAGAGUAUCGGAGAGGAAAGUGGAAUUCCUAGUGUAGCGGUGAAAUGCGUAGAUAUUAGGAGGAACACCAGUGGCGAAGGCGACUUUCUGGACUGUAACUGACGCUGAGGCUCGAAAGCCAGGGGAGCGAACGGGAUUAGAUACCCCGGUAGUCC
rnacentral:rRNA from 1 species